GCGCUCGCUUCGGCAGCACAUGUCCUAAAAUUGAAACGAUAUGGAGAUUAGCAUGGCCCCUGCGCAAGGAUGACACGCAAGUUCCACACUUUG
ensembl:snRNA Gm23792 predicted gene, 23792